UUUAUGAAGAACACUUCACUAGAUUAUGGUUAAAACAAGGUCGAAAUUGAGUUCCAAAAUCAAGCAGUAAAACUGUCCAAAACUUAAACCUUGUGAAACUUCAUAAGUAACUUAAGAAUACAUAAUGCAAUUAUUGGAUUAGUUAUUGGUAACAUUUAGGAUGAGUAUUGAGACACUUUAAUUUUGUGUUUCAGUUACAAAGGAGCCUUCCAAGGAAGGAGGAAGAAAGAAUUAAGUCAAGAUAAGUAAAGGAGAUUUGUGCACAACAAAUUUAAAAUUCUUUGUUUCUAUUUGGAAAACUAUUUGAAUAUGUGUUGAAAAUAAAUUGUGAUUGUUAUGGCUUUGAGAA
rnacentral:misc_RNA from 1 species